GAUCUUCAACUAGUGGUAUAUUAGAAACUAAUUUAGAAGCUUUGCUCAAUACUGCCUUUAUUCAUUUAAUAGGUAUUUGUUGAGCUCCUCUUAAUUCUAGGACAUUGUGGUAGAAAUUAUGGGGGGAAUGAAAACAAGAUAUAUGUCUGGCCUAAAAUAAUUUAUACUUCAAUAGUAGAUCACAUGUAUGCAUGUGAUCAGUGCAGUACAAAUGGUGCAAAUUGUUGUGAGUUCCAGGAAUAUCAAGUUCAUGUCCAGAUCCCGUCAGAAAAGAUUUCUGCGCAGAGGUAGCAUUUGAGCUGUGGUAGGCUGAAUGUGUGAGGAUAGGAGGACCUUUCUCAUGGAGUGAUGCUGAGACAGGGAAGGCCCAAGAAAUAGACAUACUAAAUAAAAGUUUGACAGUGUCCCAGAAAAAUAAGCUAUGUCUUGAAGAGGAAAUGAAAAAUCUGAAAUUGUUGUCAGAUGCAGCCAUAUUGAAGGCUCAGCAGAUUCAGACAUCCAAACAACAGGAAGUAAACUUGCAAGCCAGAUGCUAUGAUUUGCAAAAAGAAGUACUAGAUUUACAAUGUCAAGUAGAGGCACUGGGGUUGAAACUUCAGAACACAGUGACAAAGAUGGACAACUAUGAAGAAAUGCUCAUGUAAGAUGGUGACCAUUAAACAACUUGUAAGAUAACAGUGCUUUGUGGAUGUGUCACAAAAUGACAAGAAGUAGAAAGACCCCAGUAUGUUCUCUGUGACUUUUCUGACAGUGAUUCAAUUCCAUGGGUCAUAGUCUACUGCUGCUUUUCUUGGUUACUUUGCUGGCCUAGAUUAUCUACUGAAGAAUCUGUAAAUAUUUUUAAAUACAUGAAGGAUUUCCUUUCCUCAGUAAGAAACUUACCUCUCCACAUAUUAAAGCUUACUCUGUUCAAAUGCUGUUAGUUAAUAUUAAAUAGUCUCUAAACUUUUUUAUUAUCUAUCUCUUUAUUAUCUAUCCACAAGAAACAAUAUUGAAGUUGUUUCUUAAAAUUACCAAUUUUAGGUUCAAAGCAAGAGUUGAGUACUUUUGAAAUGCUGAAGUACUUAUGCUUAAUAUAAGUGAGAAAGAAAAUACUGGCAAACAAAU